GGAGGCGUUGCCUAAUGGUAUGGCAGUGGCGUGCUAAGCCGCCGGGCGAGAGCCUGUGCAGGUUCGACUCCUGCCGCCUCCUCUA
rnacentral:tRNA from 1 species